UUAUUUUUUUAAAUUGCAUUGCUUCAUGCAUAACCAUUAUCAUUCCCUACGGUAAUGAGCAUAAUGUUUUGUGCAGUGCUAGUUCAAUACAUAAUACUUAACAUGCAUAUGUGUAUUAAAAAUAUUUCUUAUUUAUUCUUUAUAGGUGCCCGUCAACUUCUGCAAAGUAUGAGACACCUCACUGCCAUUAUUCUAAGAGAGAAAAAUGAACCUUGAACUUGUACCACUAGCAGAGGAGACUUGCUUACAAGAGGAUGCUCCAAUAAUUGAGGCUGAUGUUGCUGCUUGUGUAUCCCCAACCCCACCCAGCAUACAAAACCCCUACCUUAGAGUUAGAGGAAAAUCUACAAGGAAGAGCUAUUCUACCUGUACAACACCACCAGGAAAGGACUAGAACAGAAUUGGAGUUCCUCACAGAUAUGGCUUCUUCAUUUGCAGAUGAACAAAGACAGUAUCUUGCUAGCAGACUAAGGAUAGAGGAGGAAAAAAAGGGGUUAAAGAGGAAGCAUAACAAUCUCCUAAAAGAACAAAUAAGAUGACAACAGGAAUAUGAAUAAAUUGGAGAUACUUUCCAAAUGAAGCUCUCAAUCUAUAUAUAAAGAUAUACCAACAUUUUAAUAAGUUAAUAUUACUUUUUCAAAUAACAGUUCAUACUUUAUGUUUUUAUACUUUAUACAUAUAUAUUCAAAGUUUAUUUGUUUGUUCGAUUAAUAAUGCUGUUAUUCACUUUUAUUGAAAAAAAUAUUUUGGAGAAUUUUAUAUUUUUUUAACAAACCAAUAAAAACCACAUUAGAUAUAAUUCAAUA